rnacentral:rRNA from 1 species
CCGCACAAGCGGUGGAGCAUGUGGUUUAAUUACGAAGCAACGCGAAGAACCUUACCAGGUCUUGACAUCCCGAUGCUAUUUCUAGAGAUAGAAAGUUACUUCGGUACAUCGGUGACAGGUGGUGCAUGGUUGUCGUCAGCUCGUGUCGUGAGAUGUUGGGUUAAGUCCCGCAACGAGCGCAACCCCUAUUGUUAGUUGCCAUCAUUCAGUUGGGCACUCUAGCGAGACUGCCGGUAAUAAACCGGAGGAAGGUGGGGAUGACGUCAAAUCAUCAUGCCCCUUAUGACCUGGGCUACACACGUGCUACAAUGGUUGGUACAACGAGUUGCGAGUCGGUGACGGCGAGCUAAUCUCUUAAAGCCAAUCUCAGUUCGGAUUGUAGGCUGCAACUCGCCUACAUGAAGUCGGAAUCGCUAGUAAUCGCGGAUCAGCACGCCGCGGUGAAUACGUUCCCGGGCCUU